rnacentral:rRNA from 1 species
UACGGAGGGUGCAAGCGUUAUCCGGAUUCACUGGGUUUAAAGGGUGCGUAGGUGGGUUGGUAAGUCAGUGGUGAAAUCCCCGAGCUUAACUUGGGAACUGCCAUUGAUACUAUCAGUCUUGAAUACCGUGGAGGUCGGCGGAAUAUGUCAUGUAGCGGUGAAAUGCUUAGAUAUGACAUAGAACACCAAAUGCGAAGGCAGCUGACUGCGCGAGUAUUGACACUGAGGCACGAAAGCGUGGGGAUCAAACAGG